UACGUAGGGUGCGAGCGUUAUCCGGAAUUAUUGGGCGUAAAGAGCUCGUAGGCGGUUUGUCGCGUCUGCCGUGAAAGUCCGGGGCUCAACUCCGGAUCUGCGGUGGGUACGGGCGAGCUAGAGUUCGGCAGGGGAGACUGGAAUUCCGUGGUGUAGCGGUGGAAUGCGCAGAUAUCAGGAGGAACACCGGUGGCGAAGGCGGGUCUCUGGGCAGUAACUGACGCUGAGGAGCGAAAGCGUGGGGAGCGAACAGG
rnacentral:rRNA from 1 species